GAUGAACGCUGGCGGCGUGCCUAAUACAUGCAAGUCGAGCGAACAGACGAGGAGCUUGCUCCUCUGACGUUAGCGGCGGACGGGUGAGUAACACGUGGAUAACCUACCUAUAAGACUGGGAUAACUUCGGGAAACCGGAGCUAAUACCGGAUAAUAUAUUGAACCGCAUGGUUCAAUAGUGAAAGACGGUUUUGCUGUCACUUAUAGAUGGAUCCGCGCCGCAUUAGCUAGUUGGUAAGGUAACGGCUUACCAAGGCAACGAUGCGUAGCCGACCUGAGAGGGUGAUCGGCCACACUGGAACUGAGACACGGACCAGACUCCUACGGGAGGCAGCAGUAGGGAAUCUUCCGCAAUGGGCGGAAGCCUGACGGAGCAACGCCGCGUGAGUGAUGAAGGUCUUCGGAUCGUAAAACUCUGUUAUUAGGGAAGAACAAAUGUGUAAGUAACUAUGCACGUCUUGACGGUAACUAAUCAGAAAGCCACGGCUAACUACGUG
rnacentral:rRNA from 1 species